CACUGCACUACCCCACACCUUUGCUCUGCACUGCUUAAAGUAAUGUGUGUUGCCUGCUAGUCUGAAAAUUGUUUGCAAGCAUGUGUAAAAUUUCACACAGGGAGCAUGGCACCUUUUGGAAUCGCUGUUUCAGUCCCAGUCUGGCGCAACAUAAUAAGGACAAUAAUAAUCACAAAAUCAAAGAAACAAAUUUUCAACUUGUGGAAAAUGCUUGCAGUCAAGGAAUGACUGCACAGCAUGUGGAAAUGAAUGACCAAGGACUGGAACAAGACAGGAUGUAUAUUACCAUAGGUUUCAUGCUGGAUGGCAAAAAACAUCACAUAGAUUGAAACAGCAGAGGAAUUUAUCUAGAAAAAGCUGCUUUACAUUGCUGCGAGAACAUGGAAUGUUAUAAAAAUGUAUUCAGUGAGGGGUCAAGGGAGAUAUUUAACCUUUCUUGGACUGUAAACAUACAAAUACUUGUGUUAGAUGGUUACAAGCUUUAAAGAAGGCUGACCCAGUUUGCUGUUUAAAAUAUUCUGAGACUUCCAUGGAGACUUAUCUGAUGCCACCUAUAUAUAAUGACCUAGAUUUUAAAAACAGUUGGGAAGCAGACGUCUGGAAAUCUGCCGUGAAUUUUAACGUUUCCCAUGCAAAGAUUGAGUGCAAACUGGCAGUUUAAUUUCAGUUAUGAAGGACCAAAAUCCUUUUAGGACUUCCCAGUUAUAUAAUUAGGAUAGUCUUGCUUGGAAGAUGACCAUGAAGUGGAAACAGAGCCAUCCUUUCCCGCCAGAUUCCUGCCCUAAAGGAUGCUCAGAUGAAUUUCUGCAGCAAAUGUGUGUUGUUCGCACUCUGUCUCCUCAACUGAUCUGAGUUUCAUUUCAGUCAAGACAAUUACAUCAUCCCCUUUGAGCCAAGUAUUCCUGGAGUGGUAAGGUGGGAAGUACAGUCAUUAAUGGGAUUAAACCCUAUCCUGCAGAAAGCAAGAAAGAAAAAGAUCACUGUUCUGGUUUAAAACAGCGGUAUGGGGAAUCACUAAGCUGCAGAUACAUUCUGAGCUGUAUGUAUCUGCCUCUGCAGCUCAAGAGAUGCAUAGCUGUACAGUGGACUGGUUAAUGCUUCUGAACAGAUUUCUGGACAUUUCAAAAGAAAGAACAUUCCCAUCUUCUGUUUUCGAAAUAGAUACAGGGAUAGAUUCUGCAGCCACAAGAAGCAGGUUGGAUUAAGACAAAAAGUAUGUAAGAUGGCUUCACGGGUGUUCAAACACUUACCAGAAUUAAGUAUUACCUGGUUGCUGUUAUUCUUGAUACUUUCUUAUAUAUAAUCUCUCCUUAGCAACUGAUGGAAGAGGAAAGUCGUGAUUUCCUUGAAGUGCUGUACCAUCUGUCAGCUCUACUCGUCUUUUCUUCAAACUUAUUUUGAGGUAGCUUCAUAUCUCCUUCUGACGUUCUCUUUUCCCAGGCUUGGCUAUAGUUGGAUGAUUGUUAUGUUCAGUUACAGAUUAUGAGAUAAUCUAUAUUUCACUUUAGAAAUAUGAGGUAUCUCACCAAGUGACACCCCAUUGACACAAAUGUUGAUAACCAGUUUUCCACAAGAGGAUGUGAAACAAGAAGAUAACCAAUAUGAUUCUCUCAGAUAUUUCUGCAGGGAGUGAAGAUAUAGCAUGACCCCAUUGAUCCCAGAUAGCUUCUGUAGAAAAGCAGCCAGAUCUGAAGUUCAUUUGUGUUGAGAACUGAUGAUAAACCUUGCAGACUUUUACCAUAGAUGAGAGGAUCAUAUUCCACGAUGGCCAUAAACCAUGCUAAGAAAGUCUUUCCAACAGAGCAUUAAGGCAGAAGAGGUUAAAAUGACAAAAAAAAGCACAUCCUCAUACAAUCAGGAUGCUAAAUCCAGCUGAGCAAAGCAAGCAGAGUGCAGAUGCAAGACAGAAAUAAAAUAUGCAGCAAACUCAGAAGUGAAAGAAUAAAGAAGUCAGUAUGGCAGACAGUGAGAAACUAAGCAAACACACUGAAAACACAGCCCACGAGAGAAGCAAACACACACCACGUAUAAUGAGGAAGGAAAAGUCAGGCUCAGGCCAUCCCCACUCAUUGGCAGCACAUGAAGAGAGUCAGCAAAUGCGAGCUGUAUGGGUUUCUCUGAAAACAAAGGCCUGAUUUUCAGAAAUGGAAUUUUCUUCUUCCCAUGAAGCAGCAGAUCGCUUUGUAAAAGUCAGGCCCUCCAAAAAGUCAGUGUGAAUAGCAGAAUGUGGUUUAGAGUUUUGUCUUCUGGGGAAAUGUUUAUCCACACUAACUGGGGGUAAUUGGAAAGGAAUCAUUAUAAAUUAUCUGUGCAACUUUGAAAUUUAUCUCUUGCAUUGUGUCGUGUUCUGGCAGUAAAGCAAAAGUAAGUUAAGGCUGGCGGUUCAGGAAAAAAGCUGGAGCAGGAAGCAUCAGGAAAAGUGAAGGCAGUGAGUAGCUACUCACAGUAUAAUUUUACAAUAUGUGGAUGUUACACCUGGAGCAAGAUGUGCACACGUACUCAUGUGUGUGUAUACACACACACACCUUUGCCAUGCAGACACUGAGGCAAGAGGCAGACAGGCUGAAGCACAAAACCGUUUAAGUACUCUGAGCCCGUGUUCACACAUGUUAGACCUCUGUCCCAAGCCCACCCACACUGAGCCCUUUUUAUUCAUUUUGCUAGUUUUGAAAAAUGUGACGAAGAGCCCUGGCAUGUAGGAAACAGCUAGUGGUUUGCUAAAGCUCUUAUGGGCUGGUCUGCUUUUUUUAAUCCUUUGUUAAGUGUGAUUGCAGCUCAGAAUUCAUCUUUUUUAUGUUUUGCAAAUUGAAUUAAAAAUAAAUAAAUAGCUAAAAGGAGCUUUCUGGAAAAUUUAUUUUAUCUGUGUGUUGUUAUAAUUCAGCUAGCAAACACCAAGUUUUUCAGAGGAGAACAUCCAGAGCUCAUGGUUUAAAAGACCAAAAGCAGAAACAAAGAAGCAAGGAGCUACAUCCUUUGCCACCAGCCCAGAAUCCAUUACUAAGAUUUUUAUUACCAAGUCAUACAAAGGCAGCAGUGACAAAUUAUGAGCUCAGGAAGAUCUUAUAUAUCACAUAGAUGGGACUAACAAAAUUUUAAAAUAUAUGUCAUUUUAAAGGGUAAUGAAUAAAGAUAAAUGUGUCUUGUUCCAUACUCCAGAAAUUAGCAGCUAUUUGGAAUGGGGAACAGAAUAAACCUAUAGUUUCACAUCACUUUCAAUUCUUCUACCGUAAUUUUCACAGCCAGAAUAACUUAAUGGGAAAGUGACACAGGUCACUCAUGCAAUAAAAAGCUGAAUGUCAGAUGGUGAGAAAAAAAUCCCCAGUGGUUUUAACACUAUCAAGAGUAUCAAAGGCAUGGCUUUCCUGAAGCCGGGGCUAUCUACAGCCAGCUCUCAUAGCAUUUGCACUGGGGGAACUGCUGGAGCAAACCAGGCAAAGCAAAAUGAAGCUCACUCAAGUAAAGACCUGUUUCUGAAAGGUGGAAAGGUCUAAGCACAACAGACGCCUCAUCUUGACAAGGUAAAUUCUAUAAGGACUCAGACAGAAAGGGGCAAUUACUGCCUUAAGCUUGAGCUCUAAUCUUAAAUUAUAGGAUAGUUUCCUAAUGAGGGGGAACAUUGCUGGAGACAGCUGUGGUGGAUGGAAGGGAACACUGCUGUAAUUACAGCUCCUUACAUGUCAGUGACAGAAGUUCGCAAACUCUAAGGGGAAACACCUUCAUAAUAUUUGUUUUUGCAGAAUCAAAUAUCAUUCUCAGUUUGCAGUGAAAUGGAAACAUCAAGUAUAGGAGCCUUAAAAUUGGAUUUUAGCACUCCAUGAUGCAUGUUAGGAGCUGGACUGCAUUGGCAGAGGUGCACUGGGAUCUUAACUCAGGCUUGAGUACGAUAACAAUAGUCAACUAGAGAAAUGCAAGAUUUGUCAGUGGCACUAGAGAGGGAGAAAAAAAAAGAAAACCAGCAGACAAGUCUUAGGCAGAACAUCUGAUAUGGCAUAAUCAGAACAAACUUGUUCCCUUCUUUCAGGAUGACUGCUAGCAGCAAGGGUGUUGAAUGUUUCAUACGCUUUCUUAUGACACAGAACAUGUUACUGGACAGACUGAAAAAAUUAUUCUUGGUUUAAUGCUUUUUUUUUUUGCCUUUGUGAGCUAUACAGUUAUAGACAGCAGUCUAAAACAUGUGGUCUGCAGACCCCCAGGGUUCCACAGAUGACUUAAAAGGGCUGCAGCAGAAAUAACUAAAGAACAAGCUGUUGUCUAGUCACUAUUCAAGGAUCUGCAUCUCAUCACUAAUGUUUACAGGGGUCUACAGGUGAAGAAAGCUUUAAAUCUUUGCAUUUAUACUAUUACUAGCACAUGAGAAGAAAUGUAUGAUAUUUUUCCAACUGGUACUUCCAUGGAUGACUCAGCUCCUACUAGCAUGAUACAAAACUAUAUUUUCAGAGUAUCUUUGCUUCAGCCAGUACACAGAACAAGACCUGAUUAUGUAAUUAACAACUGUUCAAUAAUUUGUGUUCUACUUGUUGUUUAAUGGGGCUUCAGACUUUGCUG